rnacentral:rRNA from 1 species
CCUACGGGUGGCAGCAGUAGGGAAUCUUUCACAAUGGGCGAAAGCCUGAUGGAGCAACGCCGCGUGCAGGAUGAAGGCCUUCGGGUUGUAAACUGCUUUUAUAAGCGAGCAAUAUGAUGGUAACGUAUGACUAAGGAUCGGCUAACUACGUGCCAGCAGCCGCGGUCAUACGUAGGAUCCGAGCAUUAACCGGAGUGACUGGGGGUAAAGAGUUGCGUAGGUGGCAUAAUAAGUAGCUAGUGAAAUCUGGUGGCUCAACCAUUCAGACUACUAGCUAAACUGUUAAGCUCGAGACCGUUAGGGGUAACUGGAAUGUCUGGUGUAGGAGUGAAAUGCGUAGAUAUUAGACGGAACACCAAUAGCGUAGGCAGGUUACUGGGACGGUUCUGACACUAAGGCACGAAAGCGUAGGGAGCAAACGGGAUUAGAUACCCUGGUAGUC